rnacentral:lncRNA from 10 species
GGGAUGGAGUGGACUAGGUAGGAUCUAUAGAGGGUAUGGGACUUGAGCUAGUUCUUGAGGGAAGAGUGAGACUUAGAUCUGCCUAGGGAUUAGAUGAUGAAAACAUUCUGACAAGAGCCAUGUGAGCAAAUUACAGGGGCAGAAUAUAUCUGAAAGCUUGAGCAAUUACGCACAGAUUUAAUUUGAGUAGAAAGUUGGUUGUGGCAGAAAUUAUACGAGAUGAGGCUGAGCCCAUGGAUGAAGGCUGCAUUAUGGAGAGUACUAAAUGCCAGAUGAAGAGCUGUACAUUUUAUCUUGAAAGCAGUAGAAAGUCGAUGAAGAUUUCAGAACUGGGAGAGGGAGAACUACCCUCAUCUGUACUGCAUCCAUCUGACCUUUGCCGGGAGCCAUUCCCAGGGAGAAAUGGAACACUAGGGAGUUGGCAUCAUUUUUGCCUCUUGCUUGCACUUUUACAGAUACCAGGAGUGGAACAUAAGGAUCAGCAAGAUGGUAAAAGGCUCCACUGAUUGUCCCCCAUGCAAGGACACCAAAUUAAGAACUAUCUACACCGAAAAAGCACUUCAUAGGAACCAAAAUUCAGGUAGUGGCUACGUGAUGCAGAGAGAGAAUCGAUACACUUGGGAAAGGGAGUAUUCAUUGAAUUCUGCGUGGAAUUCAGUGCUAUGCUGUUGUAGUGGAAAGCAAAACCAGAACAAACUCAGCUGCUACCUGCCCACGGAGGGAGUAUUUAAACCAACUCAAGCCAGAAAGGAAUCACCUGUCCCAGUGGUCAGCACUUGAGUUCUGGCAAGCUUCACUACCGAAGGCUGGAGUGCUCUGGGCUCUAGAUAAUACUUGAUUGGUAGAGUGCUGAACUGGGCUCAGAGUCAGUGGACUAAGCAGGGGAACACGACCUACUGAGACACCAGCUGGGGCCACUAAGGGAGUGCUGGCAUCACCCCUCCACUAACCUCACGCUGCACAGUUCAUGGCUCAAAAAGGGACCCCAUCCUUCCACUUGAGGAGAGAGAAGACUGAGGAGGACUUUGUCUUACAUCUUAGAUACCACCUCAAGCACAGCAAGACAGGGCAACAGUCAGAGUGGUGAGGCCCAUUUUUCAGGCCCUAGCUCCCAGAUGACAUUUCUAGACAUACUCUGGGCCAGAAGGGCCCCGCUGCCUGUAAUGAAAGGACCCAGUUUUGGCAGGAUCACAUGUGAACUGAAGAGCCCUUGGUCUCCAAAUAACCAGCAGCAAUACCCAAGCACUACAGUGAGGGUCUUGGGUGAGCCUCUGAGUGUUGCUGGCUUCAGGUGAGACUCGGCACAUUCCCAGCUGUGAUGGCUAUGGGGUAAAACACCUUCUGCUUCAUAGUUGAAGAAAUAUUGAAUUAAGAGAAAUAGUCUUCAAAAUAUGACUCUACAUGGAAAAAAACUAUUACUCUACACACACACAAUUUAUAUACCUUGAAAUAUCCAAAUAGGUUGGAUAGUUUCCCAACCUGCUUUUAUUUUAUUUUAUUUUUUAUUUUUUUUGAGACAGAGUCUCUCUCUGUCACCCAGGCUGGAGUGCAGAAUUAUGUGGAGACCUUUUAAAAUGCAUAUUAUUGGGUUCCAAUUAUUAUAUUUAGAAAAACCUAAAGACUCCAACAACAACAACAAAACUAUUAGAACUCAUCAACAAAUUCAAUAAAGUUGCAUGGUACAAAAUCAACAUACAAAAAUCAGUGGUAUUUUUAUAUGCCAACAGUAAACAUCUGAAAAAGAAAUCAAGAAAGUAAUCCCUUUUACACUAGCAACAAAUACAAUACCUAGGAAUUAACCAAACAAGUGAAAGACCUCUACCAGGAAAACUGUAAAACACUGAUGCAAGAGAUCGAAGAGGAAAAACAUGGAAAGAUAUUUCAUGCUCAUGGAUUGGAAGAAUCAAUAUUGUUAAAAUCUCCAUACUACCCAAUGCAAUCUACAGAGUUAAUCCGAUCUUUAUCAAACUACCAAUGAAAUUCUCCACAGAAAGAAAAAAAAAAAGUCCUAAAAUUUAUAUGGAACCACAAAAGACCCAGAAUAGCCAAAGUUAUCCUAAGCAAAAAACAACAAAAUUGGAGGAAUCACAUUACCUGAUUUCAAAUUACACUAAAAAGCUAUAGUAACCAAAACAGCAUGAUUCUGGCAUAAAAACAGAUACAUAGACCAGUGGAACAGAAUAGAGAACCUAGAAACAAAUCCAUACAUCUACUGUGAACUCAUUUUCAUCAAAGGCCCUAGAAAAUACAUUGGGGAAAUAACAGUCUCUUCAAUCAACGGUGCUGGGAAAACUGGAUAUCCAUAUGCAGAAGAAUAAAACUAGACUGGUAUCUCUC